rnacentral:lncRNA from 1 species
GGAUUCGAAUUUUGAGUUGGUGGUGUUCACAUGUGGUUUUCUUCUCAACGCAAAUUUUGAGCUAUAUUUGUGCUUUUUUGGUGUUUUCUGUGGUGCCUGCUUAGUUUUGAGUGUGUUUUAUAUGUAGAUUUGUGUUUCAUUAUUCAUCAUUUCAUCAUUUCAUCUGCUCGAUAUCCUCCACCAGAAAAGUUGGAAUUAUUUUCUUACAUUAAUUUCUAUAUAUUUUUCUUUUU